GGAUUGUGGCUCAGUGGUGGAGCGCUCGCCUAGCACGGGCGGGACCCGGGUUCGAUCCUCAGCACCA
rnacentral:tRNA from 1 species